rnacentral:rRNA from 1 species
CUGGCGGCAUGCUUUACACAUGCAAGUCGAACGGCAGCACGGGUGCUUGCACCUGGUGGCGAGUGGCGGACGGGUGAGUAAUGCAUCGGAACGUGUCCUGAAGUGGGGGAUAACGCAUCGAAAGAUGUGCUAAUACCGCAUAUUCUCUGAGGAGGAAAGUAGGGGAUCGAAAGACCUUAUGCUUUUGGAGCGGCCGAUGUCUGAUUAGCUAGUUGGUAGGGUAAUGGCUUACCAAGGCGACGAUCAGUAGUUGGUCUGAGAGGACGACCAGCCACACUGGGACUGAGACACGGCCCAGACUCCUACGGGAGGCAGCAGUGGGGAAUUUUGGACAAUGGGCGCAAGCCUGAUCCAGCAAUGCCGCGUGAGUGAAGAAGGCCUUCGGGUUGUAAAGCUCUUUCAGUUGAGAAGAAAAAGUCGUGACUAAUAAUCAUGAUUCAUGACGGUAUCAACAGAAGAAGCACCGGCUAACUACGUG